AUUGAACGCUGGCGGCCGGCCUAACACAUGCAAGUCGAGCGAGCGGCGGCCGGGUGAGUAAUGUCUGGGAAACUGCCUGAUGGAGGGGGAUAACUACUGGAAACGGUUGAUAAUUACGCAUACCAUCAGAUGUGCCCAGUUGGGAUUAGCUAGUAGGUUGGGUAACGGCUCACCUUGGCGACGAUCCCUAGCUGGUCUGAGAGGAUGACCAGCCACACUGGAACUGAGACACGUUCAAGAAUCCUACGGGAGGAAGCAGUGGGGAAUAUUGCGAAAUGGGCGAAAGCCUGAUGCAGCCAUGCCGCGUGGGUGAAGAAGGCCUUCGGGUUGUAAAGCACUUUCAGCGGGGAGGCGGUACCCGCAGAAGAAGCACCGGCUAACUCCGUGCCAGCAGCCGCGGUAAUUC
rnacentral:rRNA from 1 species